rnacentral:lncRNA from 1 species
UGUUGAGACAAAUCUGCUCCUAAUGUUCCCCAUUUGUAAAUUCGAAGAAGCAGCUGAGCAUCUAUACCUCCAGGUGUGGCUGGGUAGCCACUGGGCAGACAUUGACUAUCCCUCCUGCAGGCCUAUACUGAACUUGAGAGGACACAAGUUGCAGGUUAGGACAGCUUAGUUCUGCCGAGACAGAAUAAGCUAGUCCUUAACAAUUCCUGUUUUUCAAGGUCUAUCAGAAUAUCCUGGGCCAGAAGGCUGAAGACUGAUUCUCCAAUUUCCUGACAUACUGGAGCUGUAUAGGGGUUUUUGACAAUGAGACAUGUCAGCUCCUGGAGCACCCCAUUUCUACUUCAAAGAAGAUGAUGGGCAUUGAAGAACUUUCAUUUGGAGUUUACUUCAAAUGUGACAAGCUGCCAUUGGGCAAAAAC